GACGAACGCUGGCGGCGUGCUUAACACAUGCAAGUCGAACGGAAAGGCCCUGCUUUUGUGGGGUGCUCGAGUGGCGAACGGGUGAGUAACACGUGAGUAACCUGCCCUUGACUUUGGGAUAACUUCAGGAAACUGGGGCUAAUACCGGAUAGGAGCUCCUGCUGCAUGGUGGGGGUUGGAAAGUUUCGGCGGUUGGGGAUGGACUCGCGGCUUAUCAGCUUGUUGGUGGGGUAGCGGCUUACCAAGGCUUUGACGGGUAGCCGGCCUGAGAGGGUGACCGGCCACAUUGGGACUGAGAUACGGCCCAGACUCCUACGGGAGGCAGCAGUGGGGAAUAUUGCACAAUGGGCGGAAGCCUGAUGCAGCAACGCCGCGUGCGGGAUGACGGCCUUCGGGUUGUAAACCGCUUUCGCCUGUGAUGAAGCGUGAGUGACGGUAAUGGGUAAAGAAGCACCGGCUAACUACGUG
rnacentral:rRNA from 1 species